AAGUACACCACCUUACCUAAAGGAUCCAUAUUAGUACCUCAAAGGUACAUAUUAAUACCAAAUGUCAUACCUAAAUGGUACAUAUUAGGACCUUUAUAAAGGGUAAGAAAUCCUCCAAAGAGGAAAUCUGACCUGUUGUACAAAUGAGAUAACAAUGUCUAAUAUGCUUAUUGAAUAAGUGUCUUUUGGACCCCAUUGAAAAAUCAUCAGAAUUUAUCAGCACUUCCAUCUCCCACCACCAGAUGGCGGUGCUGACUAUAAGGCGUAACGAGUAAAGUCGAACCCUAAAUAUGGCUGCACCCACAAAACAGAGAUCACGACGAGUGCAUCCCAAAAAAUUGUACAUUGUGAUUUCUGUAUGGUAUGCUUGAAAAUUUUGAAUGUUUAUCAAAAGGUGAAGUUAAUAUCGACACAACAGAAGAACUGAAGUUUGCUGAUGUCUUCCUUGUUCUGUAAAGUCCCUCCUUCAGAAAUACGUAACAAGUUCUGAUUGUGUUGCUGGUCCAGUGUGUUGGGAUUCGACAGCAGCUUAGCUCACGUUGUAUUCCUGUGGGCAGAGAUUCUUUUACCAAGAAAAGAGGAAAUCUCCCCGAGGCCGAUUGGGUCCACUAUUCCAAACUACCCCGCCGAGUAAAGACGCGUUCAGGCAUUCGGGUGGAGAGAGGCGCCGCUGGACCUCGCCGACCGUCACUUUAUAUUUUGAUGUGGAGCUGAGAAGCGACAGGCGACCGGGCACCGAGCAGAAG